rnacentral:rRNA from 1 species
UACGGGGGGGGCAAGCGUUGUUCGGAAUUACUGGGCGUAAAGGGCGCGUAGGCGGCCAUCUAAGUCAGACGUGAAAUCCCUCGGCUCAACCGAGGAACUGCGUCUGAUACUGGAAGGCUUGAAUCCGGGAGAGGGAUGUGGAAUUCCAGGUGUAGCGGUGAAAUGCGUAGAUAUCUGGAGGAACACCGGUGGCGAAGGCGGCAUCCUGGACCGGUAUUGACGCUGAGGCGCGAAAGCGUGGGGAGCGAACAGG